CGGACCCCAGGGUGCCGACUCAGCCGGCGGCCUGAGAGCCGGGCCGCCCCCACCCCCGAGAGCGGCAGGGGUCUGGGAAGAGAAGCAGAGUGCAGGGAGAUGGCCUCUCUCUCGGCCCACCGCGGAGGUUGCGGCCUCCCAUAAGCUAGCAGGCUUCUCGGGCCCCGGCCUGCCGUCGGCUUCGCCACAGCGGGCCUAAUAUGGCCGCUCGUGCCGGGAUCUCCCGGGUGUGCAGAGAACCGGGCCGAGGUCCGGGGCCAGGAACUGCUCCCGGCAUUCCUCGCGGGCGUGGCGUGGGCUCCCUUCCCCCUUCUCCAGGUCCCGCGAGAGGGAGAUCCUGGGGCUUUGAGGUAGCAUGGCCCAGGGCCUGAUUGAAGUGGAGCGAAAGUUCGUUCCCAGCCCUGGCACAGAGGAGCGGCUGCAGGAAUUGGGGGGUACCCUGGAGCGCCGAGUCACUUUCCGAGACAGCUACUAUGACACCCCUGAGCUGAGCCUCAUGCGGGCAGACUACUGGCUCCGACAGCGACAGGGCAGUGGAUGGGAGCUCAAAUGUCCCGGAGCAGCAAGUGUCUCAGGACCCCACACUAAGUACAUGGAACUCACAGCUGAGCCUGCAGUUGUGGCCCAGCUCUGUGAGGUGCUGAGGGCUGAAGUCCCGGGGGCUGGAGGCGUGGCUGCUGUGCUGGGCCCGCUGGGGCUGCAGGAAGUAGCUAGUUUUGUGACUAAGCGUAGUGCCUGGAAACUGGUGCCGCGCGGAGCUGAUGAAGAGGAGCGGCCGCUCAGGGUGGACCUGGAUACAGCUGACUUUGGCUAUGCUGUGGGUGAGGUAGAGGCCCUGGUGCAAGAGGAGGCCGAAGUCCCAGCUGCCCUGGAGAAGAUCCACAGCCUCAGCAGCAUGCUUGGUGUGCUGGCGCAGGAGACGGCACCUGCCAAGCUGAUUGUGUACCUACAGCGCUUCCGGCCUCAGGACUAUCAGCGCCUGCUAGAAGUGUACAGCUCCGAAGAGAAGCCUUAGGGGACUGGAAGAUCCAGACGUGACACUGGGCUAGGGUGUCACUUGCCCGAUGGGGAAGAAAGCUCCGGGUCGAAUGAGGUUCAUUCCUGGGCUCACUGUGCCUCUUCCUCUCUGGCUCCCCUUCCCACGGUGACUCCUCUCUCUCCAGCUCCGCCUGUUCCUUCCCCCUACCCUCAGCUAUCCUUCCUGGAGCCCUCCCUGGCUGCCCCCUCUCCCUCAUCCGUCAGAUGCAAUCUGUGGGCCGCCCCUCUCCCCUGGCCGCUAAGCAGCCUCCAUUGAUUUCCGCUCGUGUUUAUAGGAUUUCCACUUAGCCGUGAUCAGUAGUUAAGCACAGGAAAAUCCCUUGCCACCCUCCCUCCCUUGGUCGAUGCCAUUGAUUCUGCCAGCGGCUCCUAAACCGCCUUACAGCUGAGUUAGAGAUGAGGGGAGGCAGCAGGGAUUUCCCUGCCCUGGGGUAUGGGGAAUAGCAGAAGGCUGGGGAAAUGGGUGGGAGUCCCUGUUAGAAAUCUAGAAAUUCUGGUUUGAUGUUGCCCCUGUGCCCUGCCCUGGCCCAGAGGGUAGAGUGCCUCCUGUGGAAGUUUAGGGGCACAUUUGCCCCCCAACCUGGAAAGGGGUAAAAAGAAAACCUUUCUUUGUUGAAACCAGUUCCAAAGGCUUAGGGCAAGAUACCUACUUCCUGUGUAAGAAGGCUCUUCCCUGGCUGUGCUUCACAUACGUUGUUUUCUACCUCAAAUAUGGCUUCCCCCCUCAGGCUUUAUUGGGCUUUCACUAUUUGUAGGGUUGGGGGCAGCCCCCCCACCCCAGUGGCAAGUACAGACCAGAGUGCCACCUGCUGGCUGUCCUCAGAUAGCGGCUCCCCUGGGCUUGGGGACACAGGAGGGUUUCAGGCUGUGAGUGGAGGCCGAGUUACUGCCAUGUCUCCACAGGCAAGUUGUUCACCUCAAAGAUUUCCUGCACCGACUGGCCAAAGUGGUUGUAGGUGAGGCGCAGCUUCAGCCGCAAGGGGGCCUAGGAAUAGGAGAGCAGAGACCAGGGUAAGCGCCAGAGACUCCCCCUUCACUGGGUCUUAGCCUCGAGGGGCUCCUGGAGCUCACCUUCUUAGGAUUGAGGAUUCUGAGGAGCUGGGUCAUCGGAAGGCCACCCUGAGCUGGAACUGUGUCCCCACUGGGAGCCUGUAGCUGCAGCUGGAAACUCUGAGCACAGGAGGUUGGAUGGAGCACACCGCAGGGAGCUGGCUGGGCUCAGGCGGCACAGUCUUGCUGGCCUUCAGAUGAACAAGGAUGGUGGGAAGCCCACUUAGCUUCAGUGAACUGUGAGUAGGAGGCUCUGACUGGAUGAGGAAGGACACAGGUGAGGAUGAGACCCCUCCACCCAGAAAGGGACAGUGGGGAGCGGGCCAGGGGUUGGGUCCCACACUGCGGCAGAGUGGCGCGCACACCUCAUGUGGUCAUACUUCCGGAAGAGGGUGUUAUACUCCACCGCCCGCUGCUGCAACUCCACGUCCAGGCAGCUGCUGUAGAUGGACACAACCUGGCGGAUGCGGCUGGGCCGCAGGGUGGUGCGUGAGUGGGAAGACUCGUCUGCCAUGCCCUUCACCUUCAGGAUGCGGCAAGAAAGGAAGAGGCCCCACAGACCACAGAGAUACCCAUGAUUCUUGGCUCAAAAGGAAAAAGCUGGGCUUCCCUGGUGGCGCAGUGGUUGAGAGUACGCCUGCCGAUGCAGGGGACGCGGGUUCGUGCCCCGGUCCGGGAGGAUCCCGCAUGCUGCGGAGCAGCUGGGCCCGUGGGCCAUGGCCGCUGGGCCUGCGUGUCCAGAGCCUGUGCUCCGCAGCGGGAAAGGCCACAACAGUGAAAGGCCCGCGUAUCGCAAAAAGAAAAAAAAAAAGGAAGAAGCUAAGGACGGAGGAGUGGGGAUUGGGGUGUGGGCCUGGACAGAAACUCAGAAACUGGGGGGCACAGUGAAGGGACAUCUCUCAAUGGAGGCACCAAGAAGAGGCUCUGUGGGAGGGGUUGGGACCCACUCUUACUUGUUGUCCCCACGGAGCCGGGUGCUGAGCUUCACGAGGGCUGUGAGGGCAUAUCCUCGGGUGGCUGGCAGGGACAUAUGGGACUGCAGCACCCUUUCCAGCAGUGCCAACACCUCCUCUUCCUCCACCUUCCAGGGGACACAGGGAGUGACCCUGGGGCCAGCCCUGCCUCCCCUGAUAUGUCCCUCCUCAGUGUAUCCUCAAUGCAGGACCUACCUGCAGGGGCUCAGUUUCCUCACAGCUCCCUUCCAGCAGGAGGUCCCCAUAUUCCCCGAUGCACCAGGUUGCCACCUGCACCAGCGGUUGCUGCGUGGGAGAAACAUGAUGGGCCUGUGUCUAUGUCCCCUCCUCACUUCCAGACCCUGUGACAUCCUUUAGGUAGUGCAGAGAUGGUGGAGUUUGGAGGGGUGGGGAAAGGGAGGGGCCUCAGCACAGGGAGCAGUUAUGAGCAGUUUUGUUAAUGCGCUCCCAGCUCUGUCCUGGCUCCUGGGCUUCCUCUGCCCUCUGGUGGCCAAGUUUCAGAACUACAUGGCCUAGGAUGGACCUACAGAUCAUCGUACUAAAUUAAGCCAGACAUAGAAAGACAAACAUUGUAUGAUAUCACUUGUAUGUGGAAUCUAAAAAGUAAUAAAAAUGAAUCUAUAUACAAAACAGAAACAGACUCACAGACAUAGAAAACAAACUUAUGGUUACCAAAGGGGAAGGGGGAGUGGGAAAGAUAAAUAAGGAGUAUGGGAUUAAGAUACAAACUACUAUAUGUAAAAUAAAUAAGCAAGGAUUUACUGUAUAGCACAGGGAACUAUAUUCAAUAUCUUGUAAUAACCUAUAAUGGAAAGUAAUCUUAAAAUAUGUAUGUAUAACUCAAUCACUUUGUUGUGCACCUAAAACUAACACAAUAUUGUAAAUCAACUAUAUUUCAAUUAAAAAAAAUAUCCUAGAAUAAAAUUCAGAAAGUAAUGCCAAAACAAAAACAAAAAUAAACCUACAUGGCCUAACCACAAGGGGUGCAGCAAGGAUGGGGAGAAGUGACGGGGGGUCCUCCCUUGAGAAAGGGGUGGGUGGUUUCUGCCUAGCCUACUAAAGUAAUAUGGAAAGGGGGCUAUACUGGUUGGCAUCUGUGAUUUCAGUCAGCAUUCAAGGUAAUAAUAAAACCGGGGACUUCCCUGGUGGUGCACCGGUUAAGAAACUGCAUGCCAAUGCAGGGGACAUGGGUUCGAGCCCUGGCCCGGGAAGAUCCCACAUGCCGCGGAGCAACUGAGCCCAUGCGCCACAACUACUGAGCCUGCGCUCUAGAGCCCAUGAGCCACAACUACUGAGCCCGCGUGCCACAACUAUGGAAGCCU